CUGCGCUCACACUCCCAGACGGCUAGUCCAUUUGGGCCAUGAUCCGUUUGGAUUAACCGGCGCAGUUAGGAAACCCGGCCACAUGAUACCGGUUGCGCCUUCCACAUGCGCUAUCCGUUUAGCUCCAGGCUUGAACAGUC
rnacentral:snoRNA from 1 species